UUAUUUCGGGUCGCAUUUAAGAUAAAGCUCCAGUUUCUGUUUCUUUAAACUCUCGCCCACCCCCCGGCUUGCCCGGAGGGCUCCCCGGGGCCGCAGCCCCCCCGACUCAUGGCGCCCACGCCCAUCCCCCACCGGGCGGGCACUGGGACAAGGUGAAUGACUCGGCGAAUCUCGGCUUGGGGCCUGGACGCUGGCCAAGGCCUAAAUCUCGCCGCUGGAACUUUCUGGAUUGUUCUUUACUUUUCCAGUUUGAUCGGCGCAACCUUGGUUUUGAGAAGGUGGUUCAGCUCUGAGCUGGGAAAUCGAACCUGUUUAAGCCUGAGACUUUUAAAAGACACUAAUUGACUCGCAACCCUGUAUAUUUAGGGGGAGGGGAUAUGUUCAAUAGCUCAAAUAUGAAAUAUAAUUUUACAGGUACAUUCCAUUUGGGUAAAAGAGGAGAGGAGGGAUCGCCAGCCAGAUCUUUUUCAUUUUUUUACAACAAUCUAUUUUGUGAUCUCUGUGAGUCAUUUCUUCGGUAUGUUUUUUCAAGUUUUAAAAUAUGUGAACGUGGUGAAAAUUUAAAACAGGUUUUUAAAUGUUUUUGGUGAAAAGUCUCCCUCAUAGCCUCAAUUUCCCAGCCACUGUUUCUUCUAGACUCUUCGAGAAAUAUUCCCUAAUUCUAAAAAUAUGGAGAGCAAGGUAUAUUUUAAUUUGUACCCUUGAAGGCCUUCAAGAAGAAAAAAGAAUUUUUUAAAGAGGCUACAAAAAAAAUGACUACAAAAAUUUUUGCUGUUAGGAAAAGGCUACAUUCCUCGUUUAAACUGUGAACCUUAAGUUAUUUAAACAUUAAGCUUAAUAUGUGAAAUCAAAACAAAACUAUAUAUUUUCUUUGGUAACCAUUGUAUAUAUGUAUUUAUGCAAAAGGUCUGAGCAUUGUUCAAAAUAGACUUUAAUCUCUACUUGUUAAUAUUUUUCAAAGAACAAAGUCGUUACUGGAAAUUAAAACGAAUAAAAUGUCGUUUUUCAAGGUAGCAGGAGACGGCAGUCAGUGACUUCCAAUAAAGAUUUCUGUCAAGGUUAUUUCUUUCUAAAUUUUUGGAAAGAAGUUGUAAAGGAACAAAACUUUGAGGCUCUAUGUAAGGUUCUUUCUCCCAGAAUUUCAGAAGUUUUUAGAGGAACAAAGAUAAGAAAUUCUUUCAAAGGUAAGCAGACCUAGUUUCUAACCACACCCUGUUUGCUUUUGGCUGUUGUUUUGCUGCAAGCCUUGUGAUUCACGGUGUUUAAAGGCUGAGUCACAAGCUUUAUGACAUAGCUUUUUUCAGAGUCCAAAGGUAAAGAGGAAAACAGCCCUGACUUUAGAGGCAGGGGAGGGAGAAGAGGAGGAAGGAAACGGUGUCAGAGAGUGGGGAAUGGGCCCAGGGUUAUCCCCAAAGAGAAAGACGAGAUUCUCAUAAGCUGGGGAGAACACAGGUGUUGUUUCUAGCAGAAAAUUUUCUGAAAUGCCCCUGCAUUCCCCAAGAACAACAAUGUGUUUUGUGGCAGUGAAUACAAGUAAACAUUUGUUCAAGGACACAGAGGGCGAGAGGAGACGGGAUCUCCCCCAAAGAGAGUGGCUGGUGUUUCUCUAAGUUAGUGGUUCUCGAGCAGGAGUGAUUUGGCCCUUCAGUGAACAGCUUGCAAAGUCUGGAGACAUUUUGGUUGUCACAACUGUGUGAGGGGGGUAGGGGGGGGGGUGCUACUAGCACUUAGUGGUUGAGGCUACGGAGGCUGCUAACCCCCUACAAUAGACUGUCCCCCAAAACACAAAAUGAACUUGCCCCUAACAUCAGUAAUGGAGGUGGAGAAUCGCUGGUCUGCAGAGGGUUUUUGUUGUCAUUGUUGUCGCAACUGCUUUUCUAUUUGCUGAGAAGGGCUCCCAAAGUCUAAAUGUCCCACUGGGUCUCGGGAACUGGGUAUCAGGUCACGCUCCUAAUCCUAAAAUCCCCUGACCUAAAAUGCAAUGUGCUAGAAUGUGCGAGAAGCAGAGUGAGUCAUUGGAUCCAUUUUCAGUUCCUUCCUUCCACAGAUCCGUCCUUUGCAGGCGCCCCAGAAGAAACUGCUUCAGAGCUGGCACCAAUAGAACAGUGACAGAGGCCCAGCAACAAGACCAGAUUGGCGGGCAGACUGGAGCACGUGAUGGGCUGAGCUCACAAAAGGCCUGGGUGUUGGGCUGCUGCGGGGAGUGGCUGGGGGGGCGGGGAGGGGAGGGAUUGGACUGGUUCCUGUUUGUCUCCUUUUCUUUCUCACCCCCAAAGGAUUCAGUUCCUCUGAAGGUCACAGCCUUGUAUGGGACUUAACUAAGCAUCAUGAGAAUGUCCGAGAACACAAUGACCUGACUGGCAAACACUUCCCCCCAAGAGAAAGGGUGAAAUCAGAGAACUGGAUGGAAAAGGCUUGCCUUGCUUUGUCAUCUGUUAUAUAACCAUGAAAGGGAGAAGUAACCUUCAUGGAAGCGCAUUACAAACAGGAGUCAUCACCAACACUCCACCACCCAACUGGUGAAUCAUUUCACGAAUUUCAGUUUUAUCUGGAAAAGGAAAAGGAAGGCUUUGCAGAGAGUCAUCUCCCUCCAGAUCUAAGAUGAGGUGUUUUUACGAUUUGAAACAAAUAAAACAGGAUUUGAUGGA